rnacentral:rRNA from 1 species
AUGCCGCGUGAGUGAAGAAGGCCUUCGGGUUGUAAAGCUCUUUUGGCAGGGAAGAAACCCAGCUCUAAAACCGUCCUGGAAUGACCGGACCUGAAAAAUGAGCACCGGCUAACUACGUGGCAGGCGCCACGGGAAUACCUGAGGUGCUGGCCUUAAUCCGAAUUUAUGGGCCUAAACCGUUCGCAGGCGGUUAUUCCAGGCAGGACUGCAAUCCCCCGGCUUAACCUGGGAAUGGGGACUGUGACUGUAUAGCUUGAGUUUGUCAGAAGGGGGUAGAAUUCCACGUGUAUCAGUGAAAUGCGCAAAUAUGUGGAGGAAUACCAAUGGCGAAAGCAACCCCCUUGGACAACACUGACGCUCAUGCACGAAAGCGUGGGGACCGGAUAGGAUUACCUUACCUGGUAGUCCACGCCCUAAAAGAUGCUGACUAGUUGUUCGGGAU